GCCUGGGUGGCUCAGUUGGUUAAGCGUCUGACUUUAGCUCAGGUCAUGGUCUUGUGCUUUGUGGGUUUCAGCCCCGCAUCGGGCU
rnacentral:tRNA from 1 species